rnacentral:pre_miRNA from 1 species
UGCUCCAAAGACGGCAAUCAUGUGUCAUAAAGUGUGAUUGACAGCUUUGAGAGUGG